AAGUUCUGUUAAAACAAAUAACAUUUAGAUAAAUUUCAUUGACAAUAUAUUGUCUACUUUCAUUUCAGAAUGCCUUGGAACAGGACGUACCAGGAAUGCAAAGAAAGUCUCUUUUUGAGGGUAUAAGCAGGAUUUCUAAGCAAGUGAUAUACAUCAAAUUGGAAAAAGAAAGGAUGAACUUCAUUUAAUACAACUUUCUGGCGACGCUAGAGAGCACAAUCUUGAACCUACCAAUCCAGCCUUCUUCCGCGCCUGCUGGAGCUCCUGGAUCAAGUUCUGCAGCUCCUUUCCUUCCAGGUAACCACU